AUCUCUCUCACUCUCCAUAUUCCUCUUUUUCUCUACUUGCUCUGUCUCUCCUUUUCCCUCUCAUUCCUCUUCCCUCUCUCUUUCGCUCUCUCUCUCUCCCCCACUGUCUCUCUCUUCUUUUCAACACACACAGCCGCCAUGAUGAAGUCCAACGUGACCCUCGACCUCAAGCUGUGAGAGUAAUCAGACAGGAGAUCAACCCUAGGAUCCAUGGAGUCAGUAACCAGGCAGCCUGCCGCUCGGCACUAUGGGAGCCCAGGCGGGCAGGAACAUGGUCCCUCUGUAUUCCCCCUCCUGCCCGACUUUUUGG
ensembl:lncRNA